GCUCAGUAACACGUGGACAACGUACCCUAAAGUGGAGCAUAAUCUCGGGAAACUGAGGAUAAUUCUCCAUAGACCAUGAGAUCUGGAAUGACUUAUGGUUCAAAGUUCCGGCGCUUUAGGAUCGGUCUGCGGCCUAUCAGGUAGUAGUGGGUGUAACGUACCCCCUAGCCGUUGACGGGUAUGGGCCUUGAGAGAGGGAGCCCAGAGUUGGAUUCUGAGACACGAAUCCAGGCCCUACGGGGCGCAGCAGUCGCGAAAACUUCACAAUGGGCGAAAGCCCGAUGAGGGAAUUCCUAGUGCUAGCACUUUUGUGCUAGCUUUUCUUCAGCGUAGAUAACUGGAGGAAUAAGGGCUGGGUAAGACGGGUGCCAGCCGCCGCGGUAAUACCCGCAGCCCGAGUGGUGGUCGAUUUUAUUGAGUCUAAAACGUUCGUAGCCGGUCUAAUAAAUCCUUGGGUAAAUCGGAAGGCUUAACUUUCCGAAUUCCGAGGAGACUGUUAGGCUUGGGAUCGGGAGAGGUAAGAGGUACUUCAGGGGUAGGGGUAAAAUCCUGUAAUCCUUGGAGGACCACCGGUGGCGAAGGCGUCUUACUAGAACGAAUCCGACGGUGAGGGACGAAGCCCUAGGUCGCAAACGGGAUUAGAUACCCCGGUAGUCUAGGGUGUAAACGCUGCAGACUUGGUGUUGGGGGCCCUUCGGGGGCAUUCAGUGCCGGAGAGAAGUUGUUAAGUCUGCUACUUGGGGAGUACGUCCGCAAGGAUGAAACUUAAAGGAAUUGGCGGGGGAGCACCGCAACGGGAGGAGCGUGCGGUUUAAUUGGAUUCAACACCGGAAAACUCACCAAGGGAGACCAUCACAUGAAAGCCAGGCUAAUGACUUUGCUUGAUUCUUGGAGAAGUGGUGCAUGGCCAUCGUCAGUUCGUACUGUAAAGCGUUCUCUUAAGUGAGAUAAC
rnacentral:rRNA from 1 species